rnacentral:rRNA from 1 species
GAGCGGAUGACGGGAGCUUGCUCCUUGAUUCAGCGGCGGACGGGUGAGUAAUGCCUAGGAAUCUGCCUGGUAGUGGGGGACAACGUUUCGAAAGGAACGCUAAUACCGCAUACGUCCUACGGGAGAAAGCAGGGGACCUUCGGGCCUUGCGCUAUCAGAUGAGCCUAGGUCGGAUUAGCUAGUUGGUGGGGUAAUGGCUCACCAAGGCGACGAUCCGUAACUGGUCUGAGAGGAUGAUCAGUCACACUGGGACUGAGACACGGUCCAGACUCCUACGGGAGGCAGCAGUGGGGAAUAUUGGACAAUGGGCGAAAGCCUGAUCCAGCCAUGCCGCGUGUGUGAAGAAGGUCUUCGGAUUGUAAAGCACUUUAACUUGGGAGGAAGGGCAGUAAGCUAAUACCUUGCUGUUUUGACGUUACCGACAGAAUAAGCACCGGCUAACUCUGUG